rnacentral:tRNA from 1 species
GGAAGUGUGGCCGAGCGGUUGAAGGCACCGGUCUUGAAAACCGGCGACCCGAAAGGACGACGUUUUCAUUCCCA